CAAUAGCGUAUAUUAAAGUUGUUGCAGUUAAAAAGCUCGUAGUUGAAUUUUUGCUUGCCGCCGAUGUCGGAACUUCCGUACGUUCGGCGGCGUGCAUCCUUGGGUGGAACCUGUGUGGCAUUAGGUUGUCGUGCAGGGGAUGCUCAUUGUUUACUGUGAAAAAAUUAGAGUGUUCAAAGCAGGCUUACGCCGUUGAAUAUAUUAGCAUGGAAUAAUAAGAUAGGACCUUGGUACUAUUUUGUUGGUUUGCGCACCGAGGUAAUGAUUAACAGGGACAGUUGGGGGUAUUCGUAUUCCAUUGUCAGGGGUGAAAUUCUUGGAUUUCUGGAAGACGAACUACUGCGAAAGCAUUUACCAAGGAUGUUUNCAUUA
rnacentral:rRNA from 1 species